rnacentral:lncRNA from 1 species
AAAUAUUAAAAAGACUUUUCAAAAAUUAACUAGAUACUUACCAUUACUAAAUUAUCUAACGUACAAUUUAUAGAAAAGCUCAGUGCAUUUCUUAAACUUUUUCUUAUCAUUUGGAUACCAUUCGUGACAUUCAGCCUUGCAACAUUCCUCAAGACAUUCUUUCCUCUUUACUGAAUUAUAAGGAUGACGUUUUUUGCACUCUGUUAUACACGAUAUUAUUGUAUCUGAAAGAUAAUCAUCAUCACUCUUGGUUGCAAUAUUAAUGGAUUCAUCAGCGGUGUUAUAAGAUUCAUCAUUGGCAAAACACAUAACCAUUCCAAUAAUCAACAUUG